rnacentral:rRNA from 1 species
GGAAUUUUGGACAAUGGGCGCAAGCCUGAUCCAGCAAUGCCGCGUGAGUGAAGAAGGCCUUCGGGUUGUAAAGCUCUUUUGUCAGGGAAGAAACGGUGGACUCUAAUACAGAUCACUAAUGACGGUACCUGAAGAAUAAGCACCGGCUAACUACGUGCCAGCAGCCGCGGUAAUACGUAGGGUGCAAGCGUUAAUCGGAAUUACUGGGCGUAAAGCGUGCGCAGGCGGUUUGGUAAGACAGAUGUGAAAUCCCCGGGCUCAACCUGGGAAUUGCAUUUGUGACUGCCCGGCUAGAGUGUGUCAGAGGGGGGUAGAAUUCCACGUGUAGCAGUGAAAUGCGUAGAGAUGUGGAGGAAUACCGAUGGCGAAGGCAGCCCCCUGGGAUAACACUGACGCUCAUGCACGAAAGCGUGGGGAGCAAACAGGAUUAGAUACCCUUG